CUCCUCCCUCUGUCGCCGCCGCCGCCUCGCCCCUCCCCUGCGCUCGUGCCCUCUCCUUCUCCCACCCCGGGCUCCAUCUUCUCCGGCCCCUUCCUGCGCUCCAUCCCUUCCUCCUCGUUGUGGCAGGCAUCGCCGCUGCUGCGGAGGGCUCCUUAACGCCGCCGCAUCCGAGACAGCCCUAGUUGUGGCAGGCAGCUCCAUCACCGGUCACGUGCGGCGGAGGCCAGCCCAGAUCCGCCUCCUCCAGCCCAUCCUCUUCGUCACGCACAACGGGAAUGGUUGGGUUUGAGCUCCGCCACCCCAUCCCAUGCCGUUGUUCGUCGGUAGCAGACCGAGCUCCGCCUCCACACCCACCGUCCUUCCUUGUCGGCCCUUUUGUGUGUCGGGAACGGACCUCGGCGGCGUUUGCCGGACAGGACCUCAACGGCGACCUGCAGGUCCUCAUUGAGAUGCCUGGAUACUUAUCUAAAUAUAAGGUGCCUGCCAUUAUUGAUUCCUUUGGAUAAUUCAUAAGCUGAUUAUUAGCAGGUGUACGUGCUGAUGAUAAAAGGAGCACUACUCAACCAAAUGGUUUGAUUUUUUGAGUCUAAUGAAACACUGUUAGUUCACUUUCUUAAACUUGUUUAAAAAUGGUUAGUACCUCGAGUUCCAGGAGUUCAAAUUAUCACACAUAUUAGAAGAGAAGUCGUCACCUUUCAGCUGUUUUCUUGAAUCAAAAUGUGUUUCUAUACUAAUGCCUAGGAAACAAUUCAUACCAUAUUAGUAAUUUCAGAAUCGCUGAGUCUUCUUCAUUCUCUGAUCUAGAAAGUUUAUGUUGUAAAUUUUGCAUUAGGACUAUACAGCUAAUGAUUUGUGGAUGGUAAGGUGCCAUUAUAACAGUGAUUUCACUUUUAUUUGUACCGCUUCGACUUCUGUAAAUUCGUAGACUACUAAUUGUUACAAUGAAAGAAAAUGAUUUAGUUCAAAUAUGAGAGCUAUUUAGUGAUGUGGUCUUUGGAUUUUUCCAUUCAGAUGUUAGAGCUCCUGUGGUACUCAGAUAUUGAUGCAUCAUGGGGCUGGAGAAGGUCCUUUUAUGCGUGAUGUCAUUUUAAUACCGGUUUCAAAUUUGCUUUAUCUUGUUUUCCCUCAUUCAUUAAAUUAUAGGAUUCUAUUUGUUUGUAUGACUAAAUGCAUAUAUGAAAUUGUUCUUGACAGAUGAUUGUAACUAAGGUCAAGUUCUAGGUAUAAAAAAUGAUCUGCUAGAUCAUGCUCUUGCAAUAACUGAUUUCGCUAUCAAGUCUACAAUCCAAUGUUGAUCUAGAAGGUAGAAUCUUUAAACUUCAUUGAUGCUUUCUUGGCCGUUUUGAUCUAAUAUCUCUCUGAUGUGGUUAGUAUAAAUAUAUGGUGGUAUAAUUAGUUUUUGCUUUUUUUGUGGGAUGAUAAUGUUGCAGAUAGAUGAACACUGAAUUAGUUCACAUUUGAUCUUGGUUCUAUACGAUCUUCUAUAUUUGGGUCUCGUAGGUCUGUCUCCCAAGAGCAACGAGAAGAAAUCUGUUAACACAUUACUGCAUUAUAUGUAACAUAUGUCCAUUUUCACGGAAUGAAGGGUGAGUGCUAAUUACUUGUGCUCAACCAUUAUGGGGCCCCGAACUUUCUGACCAUUCGAGUUAUACUCCAGAGUCUUGAUGUUGACUGAAUUGAAAAUUUGGAGCUGUCAAGACUCGAGCUUUGUUUUUCGUGACGCUAAGAGCAGUAAACGACUGUGUGUCUGGUAAGAGCAGUAAACAACUGUGUGUCUGGUACACGGUGUUCAUUUUCUUAUGAUUUGUAUGCGUGUGUGCUCUAAGCAGGUGAUGUUCUUUGAGCCGGCAACUACACAAUCUACUCUAUGAAGCUAUCUCUAAUCGUGGUCAAUUUUGUUUAUCCAAGAGAGUUCUUGUAGCAUCUCUAACCCAUCCCUUUAAAAACCUUUAACUCCACAUUUUGAGGAUUUAACCGCACCAAGCUGAUCCCUAAAACCAAUAGAGGAGUAAAAAUUGUAAGUGUCGGCCCAAAAAUGCAGCCCAACUCUCCCAAAUAUAUUUGACCAGCGCCUCCCAAGGUAAAAUUUCGGACGCCUCUCGCUCCCACUUGAGCGCAUGACUUCCUAUGUCGCCGCCCAUUCUCGCCGCCUCCACCAUCAAUGCCCCUGAUCGAACUCAGAAUGGAACCACAAGACACUUCCACCAUCCAGCCGGCCACCACCGCUGGCAUGAUGGCGUCGGAAUCGACCCACACGCCGCCACCCGCACCAAGGAAGAGGUUGGGGACGAAAAAACUUGCUUCGGGCCACCACCCUGUCAACCAAGGUCGACAUGCGGCAGCAUGGGCAGUGGGAAGGCCGUCGUGUCACCCUCCCCCCAGCUCCAGCAGGCGGCAAGCGGAAAAGGAAGCCGACAACGACCAUGAAGGUGCUCGCUGGGGAGGAGGAGGCGAAGAGAAGAAAGAGAUGUCAUUUGAUGCAUAUGAUAGGAAUUUUUUCAUUGAGUCUAGGCUAAUGUUUUUCUUCCUUUGAAAUGUGAAGGAUUGAUUGAUAUGCUAUAUAGGAAUAGGAAUCCGUUCCUACAAAUCAAAGGGGUCCAAAGGAAUUUUUCCUACAAAGCUCCUAUGCUUUACAAUUCCUACAACAUUCCUAUGAACCAAAAGAGGCUUUAGACUCUGGCAUAGAAGGCAGUGUUGACAUCAGAUGUAUCAACAGGUUCCGGAGUCUUCUGCUUCUUGGUAGAUGACUGUGGAGGUGACCUCGCAGCCCACUUUGGGAAGUUCUACAAGAGUGUCCAGCAGUGAAUCAACACAUACAACCCAUUAACAGUCGCCACAAGGGCGCCUCCUCGCGUGUGCCACGAGGAACGAACAGAUUGGGUAGGGAAAUAAAAAGGAUAAAAGGAAAAGCAAGAUAGUGUAGAAGAGGUCGAACGAAACCCUCCGUCCACCUCGAGCGCCUCCUCCUCCCUCUCCAUCGCCGCCACCCCUCCUCCCUCUGUCGCCGCCGCCGCCUCGCCCCUCCCCUGCGCUCGUGCCCUCUCCUUCUCCCACCCCGGGCUCCAUCUUCUCCGGCCCCUUCCUGCGCUCCACCCCUUCCUCCUCGUUGUGGCAGGCAUCGCCGCUGCUGCGGAGGGAUCCUCAACGCCGCCGCAUCCGAGACAGCCCUAGUUGUGGCAGGCGACUCCAUCACCGGUCGCGUGCGGCGGAGGCCAGCCCAGAUCCGCCUCCUCCAGCCCAUCCUCUUCGUCACGCACAACGGGAAAGAUUGGGUUUGAGCUCCACCACCCCAUCCCAUGCCGUUGUUCGUCGGUAGUAGACCGAGCUCCGCCUCCACACCCACCGUCCUUCCUUGUCGGCCCUUUUGUGUGUCGGGAACGGACCUCGGCGGCGUUUGCCUGGACAAGACCUCAACGGCGACCUGCAGGUCCCCAUUGAGAUGCCUGGAUACUUAUCUAAAUAUAAGGUGCCUGACAUUAUUGAUUCCUU
rnacentral:lncRNA from 1 species